AGCUAUAUGCAGAGAGUAAAUUGAAUCUGAAAGCUUUAUUGGACAAGUUUGUCUUUCAGCUUGUGUCUGAUGUCAGCUGUAUUGAAAAAUAAGACUUCUCAUGAAGCUGGGUCCUGACCUUGAAACAUCUCCAAUCAAAAGAUAUCAUCAAUUAAGCAGCACCAGACUGUCAUUAUUUGGAAUGGGAGGUCUCCACGGAAAACAAGAUGCUUCAGAAUGUGGUGCUGGUGAUUCUAGAGUUCCUGGAGACAAUCCAUACUGAAUAGUAAAUUAGUCAACUAUAUAUUUAACAAGAAAAAUAAAAAUGAACCGAAAAGUUGAUAUACAG